UUGCCCUGACAUAUAAAAGUGGACUUCGGGGGCUUUACUCACAUCUUACAGUUGCUCAGUCGCUUCCGGCUACUCAUCUCUGCCAGUUCCGCGCCGCUCCGCCGUAGUUCCCACCGGCGUUCAUGUUCUCCUUCUCCGGCCACUUCUCCAACCCAAGCUCGCUGCGAUUGUGCAUUAUUGGCUGCAUAUAUAGCAUGUGAAGAUGGUAUUAUCAUCUGUAAUCCGACUUUUCUAGAAUUGGGAAAUGCCCGAGAUAACAAACAUAGCAAAAGAAACAUCUGAAAAUGGGACAAAUUCAUCUCAGGAUGAUACUGGCACUGUUGAAGAAAUGCCUGAGGACACAAUCUUAUCACGACAAACGUCCGUGAACCUUAUUCCUUUCAUUGGCCAGAGGUUUGUAUCACAGGAUGCUGCAUAUGAAUUUUACUGUAGCUUUGCAAAGCAAUGCGGCUUCUCAAUUAGGCGUCAUCGUACCCGGGGGAAGGAUGGAGUUGGUAGGGGUAUUACAAGAAGAGAUUUUACAUGUCAUCGUGGUGGCUAUCCACAACUAAAGCCUUCAGAAGAUGGCAAGCUGCAAAGGAAUCGAAAAUCAUCACGUUGUGGGUGCCAGGCAUUCAUGAGAAUUGUUAAAAGAGCAGAUCUUAAUGUCCCCGAAUGGCGGAUUACAGGUUUCAGCAAUGUUCAUAACCAUGAACUUUUAAAGUCAACUGAGAUGCAGCUUAUUCCUGCCUACUGCACUAUGUCUCCUGAUGACAAGAGUCGCAUUUGCAUGUUUGCGAAAGCUGGGAUGUCAGUUCGGCAAAUGCUGAGGUUGAUGGAGCUAGAGAAGGGAGUUAAGUUGGGUUGUUUACCCUUCACAGAGGUCGAUGUCAGAAACUUGCUACAAUCAUUUAGAAAUGUGGACCAGGAUAAUGACCCUAUUGACCUUCUCAAAAUGUGCAAGGAGAUCAAAGACAAAGACCCGAAAUUCAAGUAUGAUUAUAAGAUAGAUUGUAAUAACAGGUUGGAGCAUAUUGCCUGGUCUUAUGCUUCCUCAAUGAGGUUGUAUGAGGCUUUUGGUGAUGCCAUAGUAUUUGACACUACUCACCGCUUGGAUGCCUAUGAUAUGCUUCUUGGGAUAUGGAUUGGAGUGGAUAACCACGGGAGUCAUUGUUUCUUUGGUUGUGUAUUCCUUCGGGAUGAAAAUUUACAGUCCUUCUCCUGGGCAUUGAAGACAUUCUUGGGCUUCAUGAACGGCAAGGCUCCAGGAACCAUUUUGACAGAUCAAAAUUUGUGGCUCAAAGAAGCAGUUGCCACUGAAAUACCAAGAGUAAAACAUGCAUUUUGCAUUUGGAAUAUAAUUUCGAAGUUUUCAGAUUGGUUUUCGACACUUCUCGGAUCCCAAUAUGAUAAUUGGAAGGCUGAGUUCCAUCGCCUCUACAAUUUACAUUCGAUUGAGGAAUAUGAAGUGGGAUGGAAUGAGAUGGUCGAAACCUACCGGCUGGAUGGAAAUAAACACAUUGCCAGUCUAUAUGCUUUACGUACAUUCUGGGCACUGCCUUUUUUGAGAUCUUUCUUCUUUGCUGGAAUGACAAGUACAUUUCAGUCGGAGACAAUAAAUACUUUUAUCCAGAGGUUUUUGAGUGCUCAAUCUGUACUUGAUAAUUUUGUGGAGCAGGUUGCUCGGGUUAUAGAUGCUAAAGAUCAAGCAGGAGCAAAACAUAAAGUAGAGAGAAACGUUCAAAAGGUUCACCUGAAAACCGGUUCACCAAUAGAAUCUCAAGCUGCAACUGUUCUUACACCAUAUGCCUUCUCAAAACUACAAGAGGAGCUUGUUUUUGCACCACAAUAUGCAUCAUUUAUGGUAGAUGAAAGUUAUUUUGUCGUGAGGCACCAUAAGGAAAUAGAUGGGGGUUACAAAGUACUCUGGGUUCCACAUGAUGAGUUCAUUAGCUGUAGCUGCCAUAAUUUUGAGUUUACUAGUAUUCUCUGCAGGCAUGUGCUUCGUGUUCUGUCAACAAAUAACUGUUUUCACAUUCCAGACCAAUAUCUUCCCAUGCGUUGGCGUGAGUUUACCUCCUCUUUGGCUAAGCCCAUGCUCUUUACUCUACCAAGGGAUCAUAUGGGAAAAGUUCAGUUAUUGCAGUCCAUGAUUUCAACGCUGAUUAAUGAAUCAGUUGAAACCGAAGAACGCCUCAAUGUUGUUUGUGAUGAAGUUUCUACAGUUUUAUCUCGCAUUAAGGGGUAUCCUACCGCAUCAAAUGGAGGUAAUGCUAUUGCAUAUGAUUGCCCAUCAGACUCGCUGAUUCUUGCAGAGGUUGAGGAUUCUGAAGGCAUUGGUCAAAGCUUUACUUGCAACCCACACGAGUGUAUUAAUUUGGCAAAGUUGAAAGAGAGAGGAUCCAGAGAUGGACUGGAUCUUUACGGGAAGAGGAGACGUUUCUCCAUUCCAUGUUGUGGUCAGUAUGGCCAUGAUGCAAAUGAUUGUCCAAUGAUGGAAGGUGAAGAUUUGAAUGGACAUGGACUUGGCUUUUUAUAGUAGGAAUGUUGUGAAAUGGAGCUAGCACUUUGAGGAAGUAGGGAAUAUAUACCAUCCCCUCUGUUCAUAGCUGAUAGUUUCUCCUCUCGCAAUGCAAAUGUUUAUACCUUUGAACUUUUGCGACCCAAAAAAUCAACUCUAACAUGCCGGAAUACCACUUUCUGACCAACAUUCUUUUUUGUAACAAAUGAAGGUCCUUCUUUCAGGGACGAAGAAGGUGCGUUCUUAUUUCUGGCCUACCAAUCUCAACUCCUAAAAGAAGGGGAUAAAAGAAGCAUUUAAGUUGUAGCACCAUGAUUCUCACGCCUCAAUGGGGAAAACAGAGAACGAGGUCUACAUUCGACUAGUUGGAGUACUAUUCUAGGCAUAUCAAGUGUAGAUUACGAUUUAAUACUUGUAUUCGGUUCAAACAAUAUUUACAAGAUUACCUAUAGGAUAUGAUACUAAUGUUUAAACUGGCACUUGGGAUGCCAUAACAUGAUGAAAUAAAACAUUCUAGUAAUUUUGAUCUUGAUCAGCUAAGGAAACUUUGCUUAGCCUGCUGGGCAAUGUCUUAAGAUCAUUCAUGUUCCUGACUUUUCUGCCUCUUCCUCUGCGGUUGCCUGAACCAAAUACAGCUCUAUGUGCCAAUGCUUUGCCUAAAA